UCUCAAAGCUAAUCAAGCUUUUAGAAUCAGGACUUAAAUCUACAGACUGUUUUACCGAGUGUUUAGAUUAUGACUUUCUGACUUAAGUUUAACAUUAGGCGUAAGAGAAAGAAAAGGUUGAUUGCCAAUUGAUUUUCUUUUCGUAAAGUCGGGUAAAAAACAAAAAAAAAAAAGAGGAAUUGGAAUUGACAAGAAAUAAAACGAGCAAUACUCCGAUGUUUAAUUGUCUCGAUGCAGCUAGGGUAUUUGUAAUUUGUAUGCUUCGUGACGAAAAUGUCAUUUUUUCAGGGUCAGAAGGGAACUGAAUGCAAUGUUGCUCUAAAUUGCUCGUAUUAUUCAAGGUUCGUUUGGACUGUAGUAUCCUUGACGUUUUAUGGCAUGUCAAGCACGUACUUUACGUUUAUUGUGCAUUAAUUUAUAUUUAUAUUUUAUAUUUUACAAUAUUACGUAAAAUUCAAAAUUUGUAUUUCAUGUAAUUUAAAAAUGCUGAUUGAGAAUAGUGGAAAGUGUUUCUUCUUGUGAUGUAAAACCUAUGAAAAAAUAAGAAUUGUAGUAAAUUGAAACGUUUUGCAUUCUACGUUAAGUUGUAUACGUUAAACUGAGAGAAUCGUAUCGAGUUUCCUGCAUUGUGAGUCAUACUUAUGUCAUUAAGAAUUCACGCGUUCUUGUAGCUUGGAGUACGCUAGCAUGAAAUUAAACUCCUAUCACAAUGUGAAUUCAGCGUGUUGUGUCUGUGCGUCAGUCUGACCUGUUUUGUAAUUUGUGUGACGUCAUUCUCCAGGAAGUUUGAAAUCGUCCUAAUUAAUGUCGAUAAUAAUAGUAAAAAUAGCAGCGAAAUAUCACAAGUUGAAAUAAAAGUAUUAUUGCUGCGUAUUAUGCAGCUUACCGUUUAUUUUUCUAUGCAAUAAACAAUUCUGCUGUAUGAAAUAAAUGUUAAAACACGAUUUUUAAAAAGUAUUGGUCUUUAAAUUGUUUGUUUCCAUGUACGACCUCUUGGUGAGAUGUCUAAACACUUCGAUAGUCUGUAUAUUUAGUAAAGAGGUUGUGUAUAGAUUAGAUGCAUCGAGGCCGCGUCCACUUAGCAACGUGCCUGCCUUUUUUUUUCAGAGCACUUUCUUGGCUAUAGGGAUUGACUGAAUAUCAUUCUACACGUCUUUAUCAUUCCACAGCAUCUUCAAGAAAAUGAAAUUCACUUCCAUUGUAUAACCAUAUUCAUUUAUUUCUCAUCAAGUUUUUCUUGUGCUUCAGUUGCCGACAUAUUCAUACGUGUGUAUAGCUGUAUACUCUUUUGUGUUAGAUUUUUUACGUAACCUAGUAAUUUUCGAGUAAGUACUGGUUACAUCACGUAAUCAGACAAUUAGUGGCCGCAGUAUAUUUUCUUCUCUUGUCUACCACAAAAGAAUACAAUGUCGUAAACAAAUGGAGUGAUCAAAUUUUCCAUCGCAUAGGUCUACGCUGUAGAUGAAAUUUUGGCACGGGAAGCUAUAAUUGGCACGUAGGACGAAUAUCGGAGCAACCAAGGUCGCAUGUAAGAAGUCCGAAUGAAAGGUGCAGUCUUCACAGCCCGAUACAUCGUGAAAUAUUGUAUCGACAGUUUUAAAUCCAUUCUUUAAUUGAAAAUUUUAGUUUUCGUUGGAUUUUCGAUGUUUUAUAUCGAAUUAACUCGCCAUGCAGACGAAUAAAAAAAAAAGAAUCGACCAGACUGACUUCAACUGGAUUCUUUGUCUGUUGAACAAUCACUGUAUUCAAUUAACCUAUUCAAAAUGUCUCAUUGAUAGCUCUUUUUCUCUAACGAAUGAGUUAAUCCAGCACAAUGUAACGAAGGUUGCCCGACACAAUGAUCAGCAGAUGUAACCUAUCAAAGAUAAAUUUAACUCUAAUUCUGUAUUCCGUGAAACGAUGUACAUAAUCGAUACAUAUCCGAACGUUUUAUCAGGUUUUUUUGUUAUUUGUAUAAUUACGAUAGAUUAGUUGAUAAUUUUCAUUAUUUACUGCACUUAAUAUAUUAACGUCAUGCAUCUAUUAUUAGCACGUGAUUAAACCGAAUAUAUCAUAUAAUGAUUUAUACAUAUGAAGAAUAAAAUAUAUUUCUUAUUCUAAAAAAUAAUUUUGAAGAUAAUAACUAGAAGCACGGUAUUCCGUAAUAGUUUAACGUAUUCGCAGAACACGAUGAAUUUUUGUAGCGAAUAGUGUAGGAACAAGGAAGUACAUGAUUUUUUACUCUUUCUAAAAGAGAGAGAUAAGAAAAAGUAGAUAAAAAAAAUACCGAUUUCAUGACGAAAUAACCGGCUCCCUUUAUGUUUCGUUAUCUUUCACAAAUUUCAGUGGUCAUGCCUAUUUCGUCUUACUCUACGUGCAUUAUCGCGAACGUUAUUAAACGUCAGAGGCCACGUUUUCGCGGAAACGCAGUUGAGUCAUCCCGCGUUUCGGCUAUUUUGCGCACAGAUUCAACAACCGGACACACACGCGCGAUCUUCCAAGGAGAAAAGAA